rnacentral:lncRNA from 1 species
AUGACCUGAAGCUAAGAUAUUGUCCUCUUCAGUUUGAUCUAGAUGCUGGUCAUCUGCUACUACCGAAAAUUAUCCCUUGCGAUGAUUUCCCAACUCCACUAUCAGAACUUGUGGAUGAGGAGAUAACUAAGUCGAUGAGAGUAGAAGAAGAUAGCUGCUUGAUGAACGAGAUAGCUGAGGAAGAUGAGCUAUACAAUAUUACUGGAAAGAACAAUUCUAGGAAUCACGAUAUGGGUGCAAACAAUGUUAAUGGAAAAAAGGAUGCAAUGUUGAGCUUGCUCUACUCAUUUCAGGAUCACAAUGAGUGUACUAUAUUUGGUACUACCUCAGAAUUUUCUGAUGCCUCUGAAUCACCAAUUGCAUUCACUCGAAGAAAUACGCUGAGAAAACUUGAUAGAGUCAUGUCUUCAGAUUCUGAGGAGGAAUGCAGCAGAGUUCCCUUGUCUUUAGAUCAACCUGAUACCAUAAAUGAAGAGAUUGAAACAGCAUGCAGUUCUCCCUCCCAUUUUUCUGCUACUGAAAUCUCCUGCAGUUUAUUGACAGAGAAUUUUCAUUUCAAAGCUAAAAGGUUGAAAAGAAAUUAUUUGGAGACAACUGAUUAUUCUACUGUGAAUGUCGUAAGUAAGUCUGUGAACAUUUCAUGUGUGCCAGAGUCAUCAUUCAUCCCUGAGACUCUGCUUACUACUGAUUCAGAAUUAAUUUCAAAUACGGAGUCAUAUAAUGAUAUUGAUGUCAAAGUUGAGGCUGAUUAUUGUAGCAAUCUGUCCCUUCCAAGUAUGUAUCCACUCAAGGUUGAGAAACUUGAUGAAACUGUUCUUCUAUCUUCCAAGUAUCAGGAGUUGCAGGGUUGUAGUUCUGAUAGAAUAACAAAAUCAAUUCCUGGUGAGGUUGGUAGUUCUGAUAGAAUAACAAAAUCAAUUCCUGGAGAGGUCGUAGAGCAUUUCAACGGACAAUGCAUGGAGGAUGUUCCAAGUGGAUAUCGGUUGUUGGAUGAGUGUAGCCGCAUGGACUUCAAUAAAAAUUCUACAUCCUCUAAGACUAUUGUGCAGCUUAACCUGAAUACUUCUGUUCAGGAAACAUGGAGAAGACUUCGUGAAGGUUGCCUAGACCUGAAACAGUAUAUCACCCCAGAGCAGAAAGAAUCUUCUCAGAUUCUUAAUGUUGCUCAUGAAAUGAGUGAUUUGAUUUCAGUGGCUGACAAAAUCAAUUCCUGCUGAGGUUGGUAUUUCUGAUAGAAUAACAAAAUCAAUUCCUGGUGAGGUUGGUAGUUCUGAUGGAAUAACAAAAUCAAUUCCUGGAGAGGUCGUAGAGCAUUUCAACGGACAAUGCAUGGAGGAUGUUCCAAGUGGAUAUCGGUUGUUGGAUGAGUGUAGCCGCAUGGACUUCAAUAAAAAUUCUACAUCCUCUAAGACUAUUGUGCAGCUUAACCUGAAUACUUCUGUUCAGGAAACAUGGAGAAGACUUCGUGAAGGUUGCCUAGACCUGAAACAGUAUAUCACCCCAGAGCAGAAAGAAUCUUCUCAGAUUCUUAAUGUUGCUCAUGAAAUGAGUGAUUUGAUUUCAGUGGCUGAUUUAUUACUUACUGAUUGCAAACACCUCCUACCUGUAAGUAG